rnacentral:rRNA from 1 species
UACGUAGGGAGCAAGCGUUGUCCGGAAUCAUUGGGCGUAAAGCGCGCGUAGGUGGCCUCAUAAGUCCGCUGUGAAAGUCAAAGGCUCAACCUUUGAAAGCCGGUGGAUACUGUGAGGCUAGAGUACGGAAGAGGCGAGUGGAAUUCCUGGUGUAGCGGUGAAAUGCGCAGAUAUCAGGAGGAACACCAGUGGCGAAGGCGGCUGCCUGGGCCUGGCCUGACGCUGAGGCGCGAAAGCGUGGGGAGCGAUCCGG